rnacentral:rRNA from 1 species
AUGCCACUCGUCGGUAGCCCUCGCCACGGCCCGCCGCUGAAGCUCGCCGGCCGCGCCCAGCGCCGGCCUCCGCCCCGCGCCAUUGCGCCCAAAUGCGACAUCUCCUCCCCUCCUCCGCGCCUAACCAGGAGAGCUGUUUCCGCCGCCUCCCUGCUCCUCACCGCCCUCCCUUUCCCCGCCUCGUCACCGCAACUCCCCGUGGCCUCCGCAUCGGAAACGGAGGCAGAAGUCGGGGGAGGAGAAGGAGGCGCACCGGCGCUGGAGUUGGAGCGGUACACGGACCAGGACCAGGGGUUCACCCUCCUCAAGCCCGCCUCAUGGCCCAAGGUGGAAAAGGCGGGCGCGACGGCGCUGUUUCAGCAAGAGGGGAAGGGGAGUAACAACAUUGGGGUCGUCGUCAACCCUGUUCGCCUCUCCUCGCUGACGGAUUUCGGCACACCGCAGUUCGUCGCGGACAGGCUUCUACAGGCAGAGAAGAAAAAGGAAAGUACCAAAUCCGCAGAGGUGAUUUCUACCGGAGAGAGAUCAGGUCGCGAUGGCCUGACAGUAUACGAAAUCGAGUACUCAUUGGAUAGCACCAGGGGAGGGAUGAAGCGGAUCUUCUCGGCAGCGUUUGUUGCUUCUAGAAAGCUCUAUCUGCUCAAUGUAGCCUACUCUGAUACUGAGGAGAAGCCCUUGGGCAAGCAGACUAGACUUGUUUUGGAGGAAGUCCUUCAUUCCUUUGAUUCUGUAUAG